ensembl:snRNA U6 U6 spliceosomal RNA
GUGCUCCUUCGGCAGCACAUAUACUAAAAUUGGAACGAUACAGAGAAGGUUAGCGUUGCCCCUGCGCACGCGAGUUUGUGAAGCUGUUCCUUAAAAAAGAAAAAGAUUUAU